rnacentral:rRNA from 1 species
GUGCCAGCCGCCGCGGUAAUACGUAGGGGGCGAGCGUUGCUCGGAAUUACUGGGCGUAAAGGGUGUGUAGGUGGCUGGAUAAGUCAAAGAUGAAAUCCCGAGGCUCAACUUCGGAAUGGUCUUUGAUACAGUUCAGCAUGAGGUUAGUUGAGGAGAGCGGAAUUCCCGGUGGAGCGGUGAAAUGCGUAGAUAUCGGGAGGAACACCUGAGGCGUAGGCGGUUCUCUAUACUAUUCCUGACACUGAGACACGAAAGCUAGGGGAGCAAACGGGAUUAGAUACCCCGGUAGUCCUAGCUGUAAACGAUGGACGCUAGAUGUUCCUGCGUUUAUGUGGGAGUGUCGUAGCUAACGCGUUAAGCGUCCCGCCUGGGGAGUACGGUCGCAAGGCUGAAACUUAAAGGAAUUGACGGGG